CAGUUGUCUUAUUUCCUAGUUCUCCCCUGCAAACUACUCUGCCUACAGUCUAGGGUGUAUCUUCAUUAGAUCCACAAAUCUCUUCCCCAUUGCCUUUCACCACAAUUUCCUCUGUUCUUAAGGGCACCAUUAAAUUUAAACUACUUUAUACUUUGUUGCAAAUGACAAGAUUAGGAGCUAUCUGUUUGAAACAGGGCUCUAAGGCUCGGGAUAAUGGCAAGCUUUUCUCUGAGUGACACUUCUGCCCUAGGAGCUUGGUUGGAGCGGGUAGAGUGGCAGGCGAUGAUGCGGUAGCCUGAGGUCUCCUUACCUGCCUCUUCUGGCAUGGAACCACGCCUUCAGGAACCAGAGGAAGGGCUCUUUUCUCAGUAUUCUCAAAAUAUCAUACCCAAGGUAGAGUCUCCAUUCCAUAAGUGGAGUUGGGCGGGAAGGGUCUUCCCACGUUUCAGCUGCACUCAACUGGGACUUGGCCUCAGCAACAGGCAGCAGGGACAGGAUGAGAAAACUAAAGUCCUGCUCCUGUACCUCACUGGGAGCUAGGUGUUCUUGACUGCAGGAAUCUGGAGUAGAUGCUCAGUCCACCCUCACUGAGCUGGGAGAAAGGAGGGAGGGACCAGUCUUGGUUCAAAUACCAGACUCUCUUCCCUCUCUUACCAAAUUUUUGUAGAUAUUCCUGAAUAGAUGUUUCUUUUGCCAUUUGCUCUCAGGGCCAUUACUAGAGACUUUAAAUGUGUGUGUGCACAUGUGCAUGUGUGUGUUUGUGUGUUUUAAUAAUUUUUACCAGUCUGUAACACAGUUUUUCUCCAUAAACUAAAAUAUUCUGAUAGGUAGAAUGGAUAGAUGGGCUAAGAAAUGAAUUUUUUCAGCUGAGCAGUGGCUCACGCCUGUAAUCCCAGCACUUUGAGAGGUUGAGGUGAGUGAAUUGCUUGGGGCCGGGAGUUCCGAGAUCAACCCUGGCCAACAUGGCAAAACCCCAUCUCUACUAAAAAUACAAAAGUUAGCCAGGCAUGGUGGUACAAUUCCUGUAGUCCCAGCUACUCAGGAGGCAGAGGCAGAAGAAUUGCUUGAACCCAGGAGGCAGAGGUUGCAGUGAGCCGAGAUCACACCACUGUACUCCAGCCUGGGUGAUGAGGCGAGACUCUGUCUCAAAAAUAGAAUUUUUUCUAAGGUAAAAGGAUGUACCUUAAUCAGGUUUGUCAUCAAACAUCCAAGCCUUUAGCAUUGACUUUGCCCUUUGCUUUUACACAACUCUGAUCUUGUGUCCUCCUUCUGUUAUGUAUAAAUUUGCUUUGUCUCCAUUCUUGCUUUCCAGCUAUUUUAGAAUUGAUUCUCAUAUCCUGGCCUAUCUAUUAAAUGCCUCUCUUCUAUUUUGAAAUAAUAUACUUCUUCAUUCAGUCAAAAACAUUUGUUGAAUGCCCCUAUGUGUUAUGCCCCAGGCUACAUGCUAAGCAUAGACAAAUAAGAUACAGUUCCAUAGUUUCUGCUCCCUUGAAAGAGCACAGAAGUAAGUCACAGCACUGUGUAGUAAGUAUAACACUGUAUUGCAGAAAAGUGUAGAUUGAAGUGUGGACAAAUACUAUAGAAGCCUAGAAUCCUUAGCUUUGUCCUGGGAAGGAUGGGAAAGACAACAGCAAAAAGGUGAAACGUCAGCCUUCUUCUUUGUCAUAAUGCUCUGUUUUCCCUUUUCCCUAGAAGAGCUGCCUCCAGAGGUAGGGUAUGUUAAAUGAUGUAUUGAAGUACAGAAAUAGCUAGACUUUCUAUUUAUGUAU
ensembl:lncRNA